rnacentral:rRNA from 1 species
CGACCGGCGCACGGGUGAGUAACACGUAUGCAAUCCACCUGUAACAGGGGGAUAACCCGGAGAAAUCCGGGCUAAUACCCCAUAAUAUGGGCUCUCCGCAUGGAGGGUCCAUUAAAGAGAGCAAUUUUGGUUACAGACGAGCAUGCGCUCCAUUAGCCAGUUGGCGGGGUAACGGCCCACCAAAGCGACGAUGGAUAGGGGUUCUGAGAGGAAGGUCCCCCACAUUGGAACUGAGACACGGUCCAA